CUGUUGUAUGUCCCGCCAGCA
rnacentral:tRNA from 1 species